rnacentral:rRNA from 1 species
GCAUAAUGUCGUAAGACCAAAGUGGGGGACCUUUUAGGCCUCGCACCAUCGGAUGAACCCAGAUGGGAUUAGCUAGUAGGCGAGGUAACGGCUCACCUAGGCUACGAUCCCUAGCUGGUCUGAGAGGAUGACCAGCCACACUGGAACUGAGACACGGUCCAGACUCCUACGGGAGGCAGCAGUGGGGAAUAUUGCACAAUGGGCGGAAGCCUGAUGCAGCCAUGCCGCGUGUAUGAAGAAGGCUUUCGAGUUGUAAAGUACUUUCAGUGGGGAGGAAAGCGAUAAGGUUAAUAACCUUAUCGAUUGACGUUACCUGCAGAAGAAGCACCGGCUAACUCCGUGCCAGCAGCCGCGGUAAUACGGAGGGUGCGAGCGUUAAUCGGAAUUACUGGGCGUAAAGCGCACGCAGGCGGUCUGUCAAGUCGGAUGUGAAAUCCCCGGGCUUAACCUGGGAACUGCAUUCGAAACUGGCGGACUAGAGUCUUGUAGAGGGGGGUAGAAUUCUAGGUGUAGCGGUGAAAUGCGUAGAUAUCUGGAGGAAUACCAGUGGCGAAGGCGGCCCCCUGGACAAAGACUGACGCUCAGGUGCGAAAGCAUGGGGAGCAAACAGGAUUAGAUACCCUGGUAGUCCAUGCCGUAAACGAUGUCGACUUGGAGGUUGCGUCCAUGAGAUGUGGCUUCCGGAGCUAACGCGUUAAGUCGACCGCCUGGGGAAUACGACCGCAAGGUUAAAACUCAAAUGAAUUGACGGGGGCCCGCACAAGCGGUGGAGCAUGUGGUUUAAUUCGAUGCAACGCGAAGAACCUUACCUGGCCUUGACAUCCACGGAAUUUAACAGAGAUGUUUUAGUGCCUUCGGGAACCGUGAGACAGGUGCUGCAUGGCUGUCGUCAGCUCGUGUUGUGAAAUGUUGGGUUAAGUCCCGCAACGAGCGCAACCCUUAUCUUUUGUUGCCAGCGAUUCGGUCGGGAACUCAAAAGAGACUGCCGGUGAUAAACCGGAGGAAGGUGGGGAUGACGUCAAGUCAUCAUGGCCCUUACGGCCAGGGCUACACACGUGCUACAAUGGCGCAUACAAAGAGAAGCGACCUCGCGAGAGUAAGCGGACCUUAUUAAAGUGCGUCGUAGUCCGGAUCGGAGUCUGCAACUCGACUCCGUGAAGUCGGAAUCGCUAGUAAUCGUAGAUCAGAAUGCUACGGUGAAUACGUUCCCGGGCCUUGUACACACCGCCCGUCACACCAUGGGAGUGGGUUGCAAAAGAAGUGGGUAGCUUAACCUUUGGGAGGGCGCUUACCACUUUGUGAUUCAUGACUGGG